AGAUGCGAGAGUAGAGCAUAUCAAUAAGCGGAGGAAAAGAAACUAACAAGGAUUCCCUUAGUAACGGCGAGUGAAGCGGGAAGAGCUCAAAUUUGAAAUCUUCAAGGUUUUACCUUGACGAAUUGUAGUUUAAAGAAGUGUUUUCUGUUGAAGUUUCGGUAAAAGUUCUUUGGAAUAGGACAUCAUAGAGGGUGAGAAUCCCGUAUUUGACCGUUAUUUUCAGCUGUGUGAUACACUUUCAAAGAGUCGGAUUGUUUGGGAAUGCAGUCCAAAAUGGGUGGUAAAUUUCAUCUAAAGCUAAAUAUUGGCGAGAGACCGAUAGCGAGCAAGUACCGUGAGGGAAAGAUGAAAAGAACUUUGAAAAGAGAGUUAAACAGUACGUGAAAUUGUCAAAAGGGAAGCGUUUGACACCAGUGUUGUAUUCUCGAAAAUCAAUUAAAAAUGGCUUGAUUUUGUGUUGUAUUGACCUUAAAAACUUUCUUCACUUUUUUCAUGUCUUUUUUAAUGCACUUUUCGUUCAACAAGUCAACAUCAGUUUCUUUUGUUGUAAAAAGGUCAUAGGAAGGUGGCUUUCUUUUCGGAGAAAGUGUUUAUAGCCUUUGACUUCUGCAAUCGGAGAGACUGAGGUCUGCAGCGUAGAUCCUUCUGGAUUAGAUUCAUUUGUGCUAAGUUACAACCGUUUAUAGACAACUUGUUGACUAUAUUCGAUCCUGUAGCUUACUCGCUUAUGUAAUUUUACCUACGCUUAGGAUGUUGAAGAUGUAGCACAUCAU
rnacentral:rRNA from 1 species